CAGCAGCCGCGGGAAUACGAAGGGGGCUAGCGUUGCUCGGAAUUACUGGGCGUAAAGGGAGCGUAGGCGGAUGUUUAAGUCAGAGGUGAAAGCCCAGGGCUCAACCUUGGAACUGCCUUUGAUACUGGACAUCUUGAGUGUGGGAGAGGUAAGCGGAACUCCGAGUGUAGAGGUGAAAUUCGUAGAUAUUCGGAAGAACACCAGUGGCGAAGGCGGCUUACUGGCCCAUUACUGACGCUGAGGCUCGAAAGCGUGGGGAGCAAACAGGAUUAGAGACCCGCGUAGUCCCUGUCUCUUAUAC
rnacentral:rRNA from 1 species